UACGAAGGGGGCUAGCGUUGCUCGGAAUCACUGGGCGUAAAGCGCACGUAGGCGGAUUGCUAAGUCAGGGGUGAAAUCCUGGAGCUCAACUCCAGAACUGCCUUUGAUACUGGCGACCUUGAGUUCGGGAGAGGUGAGUGGAACUGCGAGUGUAGAGGUGAAAUUCGUAGAUAUUCGCAAGAACACCAGUGGCGAAGGCGGCUCACUGGCCCGGUACUGACGCUGAGGUGCGAAAGCGUGGGGAGCAAACAGG
rnacentral:rRNA from 1 species